UUGAAACAGCAUAUUUUAAAAAGAAUCUAUUGCCCUUACUCUUGUUUUUAUGCAACAUACUAGACAACAUACUAGUUUACUCGUCAUUGCUAAAAUCUCACAUAAUUCCGCAUCAUAUAAAUAGGUCAAAAUAUAUUUUUGGCCCGUGCGUAAUUAUCAAGAUGCACAUUUCGAUUAAAACUCACCUUUCUUCUUUUGGACGACUACAUUUGCAUUAAAUUUACUUAUUUCCCUGUCCUAAGUCAUGUUUAAGGAUACCCAGUUGAACAUCCUUUUAUUUAUUUUAAACAAAAACGACCAGGUCAACAGGAUAUCACGAGACCUGUUACAGCGGAUAUUUAUCCAAGCGCCGCACAGGGUUAAUUUCUUUUCGACACGCACAGCCUGGCGCACAGAAGCAUCCGGAGUCUCUGUGGACAGGCAUCGAGGCGCUGAAGAGCUCGGAGCACACGAGGCAGCUGACGUCCUCGCUGGAUAGGCCUAAAUAAAUUGGAGAAGUGGAGGCAGCAAUGGUGGUGAACUCUGCUGCCUCCGGAACAGGACAAACUAGGCCUAAGGUGGGGCUGACUCCAUCAGCGGGCCAGGUGAUGGUGGGAGGAGCAGCUGAGGUGGCAACUCCAGCAACUCCGGCAUCAGGAGCGGGCGAGAACAGCCUCUUCUUGGGAGCCCGAGAGGAGGGAGGCUGCUUGGCGGGACGACGCUGCUUCCCAGUUCCCUGCUUUUCCGCCUCUAAAGCAGCCCUCACCGGGGUGUCCUGUUCCUACCUGAAGUGGCACCUGGAGAAGCGCUGACCUCGUCACCCGAAGCCUGGGGAGGAGGACGGUCUGUGGAAUAGGCUCCGGCGAAGUCCUUUUCCUCAAACGCAGAGGGGUUAAAAGGCCAGAUCCCUGGACUUGAGAACCCGGAGGUGGGACGGGUGAUUGUCCAGCAGGAGGAGCAGCUUCGACUCCUUGGACACACGGGUGUGCCUGGUGAAGUGGGCCAGGUACAGGAGGAAGUCUGGCUCCUUCAUCCAGCCAGUUGGGUUGCCGCUGCCAGCACAGCCAACGGGUCCACCCCUCAGGAAGUGGUCUUUGAACCGCUUACGGGGGAAGAUGAAGAAUGGCGGAACAAGGUCGCCCUGCGCAUUGCCUGCCAAGGCAACUGUGACCAGGGUCCCCCUCUCCGCUGAGGUCACU